rnacentral:rRNA from 1 species
UACAGAGGUCUCAAGCGUUGUUCGGAUUCAUUGGGCGUAAAGGGUGCGUAGGCGGCGCGGUAAGUCGGGUGUGAAAUCUCGGAGCUUAACUCCGAAACUGCAUUCGAUACUGCCGUGCUUGAGGACUGGAGAGGAGACUGGAAUUUACGGUGUAGCAGUGAAAUGCGUAGAGAUGCGGAGAAACACCGAUGGCGAAGGCAGCCCCCUGGGCUAACACUGACGCUGAGGCACGAAAGCGUGGGGAGCAAACAGG